GGAUUGUGGCUUAGUGGUAGAGUGCUUGCCUAGCAUGUAUGAGGCUCUGGGUUCGAUUCUCAGCACCA
rnacentral:tRNA from 1 species